rnacentral:rRNA from 1 species
UACGGGGGGGAGCGAACGUUGUUCGGAAUUAUUGGGCGUAAAGAGCUCGUAGGCGGCUUGUCACGUCGGAUGUGAAAGCCCCGGGGCUUAACCCCGGGUCUGCAUUCGAUACGGGCUAGCUAGAGUGUGGUAGGGGAGAUCGGAAUUCCUGGUGUAGCGGUGAAAUGCGCAGAUAUCGGGAGGAACACCUGUGGCGAAGGCGGUUCUCUGGGACGGUACUGACGCUGAGACGCGAAAGCGUGGGGAGCGAACGAG